rnacentral:rRNA from 1 species
GAUGAACGCUGGCGGCGUGCCUAAUACAUGCAAGUCGAGCGAACAGAUGAGGAGCUUGCUCCUCUGACGUUAGCGGCGGACGGGUGAGUAACACGUGGAUAACCUACCUAUAAGACUGGGAUAACUUCGGGAAACCGGAGCUAAUACCGGAUAAUAUAUUGAACCGCAUGGUUCAAUAGUGAAAGACGGUUUUGCUGUCACUUAUAGAUGGAUCCGCGCCGCAUUAGCUAGUUGGUAAGGUAACGGCUUACCAAGGCAACGAUGCGUAGCCGACCUGAGAGGGUGAUCGGCCACACUGGAACUGAGACACGGUCCAGACUCCUACGGGAGGCAGCAGUAGGGAAUCUUCCGCAAUGGGCGAAAGCCUGACGGAGCAACGCCGCGUGAGUGAUGAAGGUCUUCGGAUCGUAAAACUCUGUUAUUAGGGAAGUACAAAUGUGUAAGUAACUAUGCAUGUCUUGACGGUACCUAAUCAGAAAGCCACGGCUAACUACGUG